rnacentral:sRNA from 1 species
CCAAGAUAUUUGGAUCCUAACUAUUUAAAUCUAUAGCAUCUCUACUAGUGUUUUCAACUGUUAAAGAAGAUGUUAGUCUUAAACGUAUCAGAGCAUCUAAAUAUCUGUACCUGGUAGAUUGUUUUUCCUCUACAAAAGUUCAAGAAAUAAGGAUAAACCUUGUAUUAAAACAAUGUUUUGAAAAAUGAGUGCAAAGACCACCAUCUUACAGUGUAUAUACUGGAAACUGCCAUGCCUUUUAUUUUAAGCUGUUUAAGCUUAUAUUCUGAAGGGUAAAUGUCAAGCUUAGGUAGAGUAUAGAAAAAUCACCCUACUUGAUUUUAAAUAGUCUUCACCAAUCAAAAGUACAUUUUCUAGUUACAAAGUCUAAAGUAUGCAACAUUCGACAAGAAUCUUCUUUGCGUUGAAUUCAAGCAUUCCCCUAUUAACACUAACAAUGUAUUCUCAAUUUUUACUGAUACGAAAUGUAGAUAUUAUUGUUAAUCAGUAAUUUUUAUGAUAUGAUUUAUAACAAAAUCUGAAUGUACAUGAACUAACAUAUAUUUUAACGCUGACUGGAUUUAUUUCAAGUUACUAAGCAGAUAUAAUAAAUAAUUGUCAAGAGGGUUAUACAUUGAUAUACAACCCAAGAGCAGACAAUUCAUGUAUUAAUUUCGUUUUUGUAAUUUUCUUUUUUCAACAUUUAAUGCAGUACUCUUUAUCUUGUAUCAUACCAAUUAAGACUUAUUGACUAAUUCUAACAUAUGAUUUGUAGCAUUGGUGUGAUGUUGUAUAUAGACCAACAAUAUCUGUGUGUUAACAUGAUCACAAACAUUGAUUUUUGUCAUUUUAGUAGCAUCUUAUGACAAUAAAUCAUUUUUCUCCUC